GAAGUCAUAUUACCUCUAGAAUCAUUAUAUUGUGAUCGCAGUUAAUGAUAGCAUUUACUACUUCAGAAAGAACUACGGUCAGAACAAUAAUAGCAAGAAUGUUCAAUGUAGUGGAUAAUAAGGAUAUACCAGAAUGUGAAGUAAUUGAUGUCAUUGCAAAGUUCCUAAGCCUUGUAAUCUCUGUAAUAGUAGUUGCCUUCAACUUUUCAGGAAACGCGUCUCUUCGAAGCUUUUGAACAUCAUCAUUUUCAAUGCAACACAAAGCAUUUUCACAUGCCUAUUUGCCAAACAGUAAUUAAGCAACAAAAACAAAAGAAACUGAAAUUUCAAUUUCAAUUUUCAAACUAAUUAAAAGUAUCAAAGACUACAUAAGUUUACAUCACAAUUUUUUUUUUUAAACACACAUGCAUUCAAUUUAGAUAAUUUCUCUUCCUACCCCCGCCAUUCUUUUAUACCCCCUAAAAUCUCAUUUUGCCCUUCUUAAUUUGAAAAAAUUUGAACAUAAAAUUUCGGUUUUUAUGAACCGAAAAAAUUGGAACACAAAAUUUUUCAGUUUUUACUAACCGAAUAAAUUGGAACGCAAAAUUGGAACAACAAAUUCAUCAGAAACAGAAACCAAAACUUCUCAAACACAAAACAACAAAUUCUCUCAUUGAAGAAGAAGAUACAGAAGAAGGUUUCAGCAUCAAAAGCUCUGCCCCAUCACACACUCACGGUGUUCAACCCUUAGGAAAUCGCUAUCUUUU
rnacentral:lncRNA from 1 species